rnacentral:lncRNA from 1 species
UACUACACAAUGCCUCAGUCAAUACAUUUAACCGGUUUUUAAUAUUUUGUUUAUUUUUAUUUUUUUCACACUUUUUCUCCCAAACAGGCACUGAACGACCAAUACUGCAACCCACCCAAUGCAAUUCCUGUAAACACAAGCUACCCAGGCUUCGCUUGGCAACCUCUUUGGUAACCAUGAUCCUUCCCAUUUCAGGACUUGCUGAAACUGGUCGAAAUGGCUCUGGCAUACUAGGCAGUCCAUGACCCAUCUGACUUUGAGGAAGGAAAAUGCAGCUCAGCUGAGCUACAAAAUCAGUCUCCUUGGGCUUGCAUUAAUUUGAUGUGCAUCCAUCUUAAUUCAAGUUGAUCCGUUUCGAUCUUGGCAGCGUAUUGAUAGCAAAUGGGAGCGAAACACCAUUCGGCGAACUCCUCCGUACCGCCAAAACCAGGGACAAAGCAGAAAACCCAGGGUCGUCUCUUGGAAUCGGUUCCCAGGCUGCAGUACAGGCUUUAUAAGAGGUCAUUUUGUGCUGUGCCAGAAGGUGCUCUGCAAGUCCACUAUUAUGCUGUCCUUCGCAGCUUUAAUCUGCAUAGUACAGAAAUUGGUUUCAAAUCCUGACCCACAAAGAGGAGUGGACUGUGGAUGUAAUAUUCUGCUUUCAAGCGGGGAAUGCAGCUCCUUCCAGAAAGAAGAAUAAAAUUAUCAAGGUGAUGGACUCCUGAAACUUG